GCCAGCAGCUAUCACUCUGCAGCUCUCGCCUGGUCGCCCACUGAAGCUAAGCAGGGUUGAGCCUGGUCAGUACCUGAAUGGGAGACCUCCUGGGAAAACUAGGUUGCUGCUGGAA
rnacentral:rRNA from 1 species